rnacentral:lncRNA from 10 species
GGCCUGGCAAGGAAGUGUUAACACGAGAAAUGGAGAUCUCCUAUUCCUGACUCCCUCCUGGAACCAGCACGUCACUCCAGGCCCCCAGAGGCAUUGGCCCUCCUGUGAAUUCAACCAAGCGUGGUGUCCCAUAGCAAAUAUGGAAAACGCCUGGAAAAAGCCACCAGAUGGUGCUUCUCCAUGCCAAAUGAAGCUUCUACUUAAAGGGCAGCUGGGAAGCCUCCCGCCUUUUGUUCACAUCCCACUCCUUGUUUUCCUGCAUGAAGCCAGGUAACCCCCGGUGGAGAUAGGCACCUGUGAGAAGUAUCACUGCUUCGUGGGUCAGGGGCUUGGACCCACCAGGGCUGUGUCACCUGCGGACCAUGUGAACUCAAGUGCGGUCUUCGCUAAGAGGCCAAGCAAGAUGAUGUAAUCACCUGAUGAGUUCCUCCUGCCCACUGCACAGACAAAACCAAUUCACUGAGACGACGGCAUUGCAAUAAAGAAAGAGCUUAAUUGACACAAGGUUGGCCACUCCUGUCUCAAAUCAAAUCAAUCUGAAAAUUUGGAGGCUAGGGUUUUUAAAGGAUACUUUGGUGGGCAGGGGGCUGGGGAAUGGGGGCUGCUGAUUGGUUGGGGAUGCAAUCACAGGGUUGUGGAAAUUGGUCCUUGUGCACCAAGUCCACUUCUGGGCGGGCUCCCCAGGACCGGCUGAGCCAAGAGUUGAAGGUCUGGGUGGGGCCAUCCGGUCAUCAGAAAUGCAGGUAAAGACAUCUCAAAAGGCCAAUCUUAGGUUCCACAAUAGUGAAUUGGGACAGUUGCAAAUCUUGUAUCCUCUGGAAUAAUGGCUGGUUGUCAUUUAACUAUGCCUGCGUCUUAGCGAAAUUUAGGCCCCUCUCAUCCUCCUAACCUGGUGGCCUUUCUUUUCUUUUCAUUUUUUUUUAAGAAACAGGUUCUUACUCUGUCCCCCAGGCAGGAAUGCAGUGGUGUGAUCGUGGCUCACUGCAGCUUAAAACUCCUGGGCUCAAGUGAUCCUCCCACUU